ACGGAGAGUUUGAUCCUGGCUCAGGAUGAACGCUGGCGGCGUGCUUAACACAUGCAAGUCGAACGACUAAACCGCCCUCGGGCGGACAUAGAGUGGCGAACGGGUGAGUAACACGUGACCAACCUGCCCCCCGCUCCGGGAUAACGCGGCGAAAGCCGCGCUAAUACCGGGUACUCCGGCGAGGCCGCAUGGCCCCGCCGGGAAAGCUCCGGCGGCGGGGGAUGGGGUCGCGGCCCAUCAGGUAGUAGGCGGGGUGACGGCCCACCUAGCUUUCGACGGGUAGCCGGGCUGAGAGGCCGACCGGCCACAUUGGGACUGAGAUACGGCCCAGACUCCUACGGGAGGCAGCAGUGGGGAAUUUUGCGCAAUGGGGGAAACCCUGACGCAGCAACGCCGCGUGCGGGACGAAGGCCUUCGGGUUGUAAACCGCUUUCAGCAGGGACGAAUUCCGACGGUACCUGCAGAAGAAGCCCCGGCUAACUACGUGCCAGCAGCCGCGGUAAUACGUAGGGGGCGAGCGUUAUCCGGAUUCAUUGGGCGUAAAGCGCGCGUAGGCGGCGCGUCAAGCGGGACCUCUAACCCCGGGGCUCAACCCCGGGCCGGGUCCCGGACUGGCGCGCUCGAGUGCGGUAGAGGCGAGUGGAAUUCCCGGUGUAGCGGUGGAAUGCGCAGAUAUCGGGAAGAACACCGAUGGCGAAGGCA
rnacentral:rRNA from 1 species